UAAGCGGAGGAAAAGAAACCAACAGGGAUUACCUCAGUAACGGCGAGUGAAGCGGUAACAGCUCAAAUUUGAAAUCUGGCUCCUCGGGGCCCGAAUUGUAAUUUGUAGAAGAUGCUUUGGGUCUGGGCCUGGCCUAAGUUCCUUGGAACAGGACGUCGUAGAGGGUGAGAAUCCCGUAUGCGGCUGGCGCCCGUGCCCGUGUAAAGCUCUUUCAACGAGUCGAGUUGUUUGGGAAUGCAGCUCUAAAUGGGUGGUAAAUUUCAUCUAAAGCUAAAUAUUGGCCAGAGACCGAUAGCGCACAAGUAGAGUGAUCGAAAGAUGAAAAGCACUUUGGAAAGAGAGUUAAACAGUACGUGAAAUUGUUGAAAGGGAAGCGCUGGCAACCAGACUUGGGCGCUGUUGAUCCGCUAGGGUUCUCUCUAGGGCACUCGGCAGUGCGCAGGCCAGCAUCGGUUUGGGGGGUUGGAGAAUGGCUGGUGGAAUGUGGCUGUCUUUGGGCAGUGUUAUAGCCACCGGUGGCAUGCAGCCUCCCCGGACCGAGGACCGCGCUCGGCUAGGA
rnacentral:rRNA from 1 species